rnacentral:rRNA from 1 species
UACGUAGGGCGCAAGCGUUGUCCGGAAUUAUUGGGCGUAAAGAGCUCGUAGGUGGCGUGUCGCGUCUGCCGUGAAAGCCCAUGGCUUAACUGUGGGUCUGCGGUGGAUACGGGCAGGCUGGAGGCUGGUAGGGGCAAGCGGAAUUCCUGGUGUAGCGGUGAAAUGCGCAGAUAUCAGGAGGAACACCGGUGGCGAAGGCGGCUUGCUGGGCCAGUUCUGACGCUGAGGGGCGAAAGCGUGGGGAGCGAACAGG